CUAUAACCCCUCUCCAGUCUGCUACCCAAUGUCUAGCAGAGAAAUAUGUGCAUGAUGCUUUUAAAGGAAAAAAUGUUUACGUCCUUCUGUCAAAAGUGAAUGGAUAUAAGUUGUUUUACUGGGACAUUAAUAAAAUCGGUCCUGACAUGGAACUGGAGAGUCAGGUGGGUACAAUGACUAUAUUAUUUUUGAAAUAUCCCAGCUGUUACAGUAUUUAACUAAUCUUUUUUUUUUCUUGUUAUAAAUUUGCAGUCAAUUAAUGCAUUUAUGGCUGUCAUUGUGAAGGAAUACAACAACAAGAACACAGGACAGGCUGCGUUCAUAGAUUCAUUUGAAAUGACAGCAAUGUGGGAGGGAAAAAGUCCUAGAUUAAAGAUGAACCCAAGUAAUUAUGAAAUAAUUCUGGGAAUCAACAAUCAGCACCACCACUGGACUUUAGUGGUGAUCUACCCACAAGAGAAAAAGUCUUUGUUCUUGAAUCCACUGGGGGAAUCAAAACAUGAGAUCCAGAAAUGUUUGCAAAUCACAAGAGCAUUUAUGAGGAAGAAGGGGUGCAAUGUCUCUCGUUGGAGAUGUGACACAGUGAAGCAUCCCAAACAACAGGACAGUACAUCAUGUGGUGUAUUUUCACUGAAGUUUGCAGAAAAAAUCCUAGCAAAAGAGGUUGUGGAUUUUCCUGUUUCUACUGCGGCGGUCUACAGCAUGAGGUUGGACAUUGCUGUGAGACUUAUCCUUGACAGUGAUGACUUAAAAGACUUGUGCCACUUUUGUGGAGAGAAGGAAAGUGACACGGAUGUGAACUGG